GGUUAAGUCGUUUCGGUAGCAGGUGGUUGAUUCCCGCCAGCUACCGAAACGACUUAACUU
rnacentral:pre_miRNA from 1 species